GUAUUGAGGAGAGGCAGGAGCAGCAGCAUGGCCUGCCGGUCCAGAUGAGGGAGCAGUGUGGGGGGUACGAGGGGCUGCUGGGUCAGACGAUCGCCCCAGACAUCGAGAUCGCUGCCUACGGAAGUUUGGUGGAAGAGGAGAAUGUGCUACCUGUGAGAGGAACCGAUCCAGACCAGGCCAAACAACCGGCUUUCGGCGAUUGAUAUCCCCCAUAUGGAUUUGACGUGACGCCAAAACACAACAGACCCAAAUUAUCCAUUAGAGAUCCCAUGAAGCUAACCUCCACACAACCAUUUAAGCAGAUGUAAACGUAUCAUGACAGAUUAACAACUUCUGGAGGGCGAGCCAGGCCAUUGAUAACAGGUCACUGGCAGGUGACCCCUGUCCUAUUAGAAAGAUGGAAUUGUCUAACAUUGGGGGAGUCUCUUCAGUGUCUGUGAAGAGACUCUGAAAUGUCCCUAAGUGGUCUCUAUCUGUUGUGGCUACAGUGUCUGGAGGUAACUCACUGAUAUGAGACACACACACACACACACACACUCUCUAGACCACCUCAGUGUGUGGCUGCUCUGUAGAAUCAUUUACCUCCCAAUGCCCAUCACCCCUCACUCCAACACGAGCUCAUUACACGCUGUUAACCCCUGACCUUUCACUGUUCACAAGUUGUUGGACAGCUCUCAAUAUCCAAUAAGAUAGCCUUAACUGGUCAUGGCAGGUCACCUUUCAUUUGCUUUACGGUUGUGGGUUUUACACAGAACUGGCAGUCAAGUCAGUCACACCGUUCAUGUAUACUUGGGAACUGGUAUAUUAGCUUUGCAAAUGGUUGGUGAAGUUGACAUUCUGCAGCUCCUAUGUACCUGGUCGACUACAGCAGGGAGCUUGUGUGCAGUCCCUGACUUAUUUUCUCAUUCUCUGCUCAUAACCUGGAGGAACUUAGUCAAGUUUAAACCAUAACAAUAAAAAUAAAUGUUGCUUGA